rnacentral:rRNA from 1 species
UACGGGGGGGGUAAGCGUUGUUCGGAAUUACUGGGCGUAAAGGGCUCGUAGGCGGCCAACUAAGUCAUACGUGAAAUCCCUCAGCUUAACUGGGGAACUGCGUGUGAUACUGGAUGGCUUGGAUUUGGGAGAGGGAUGCGGAAUUCCAGGUGUAGCGGUGAAAUGCGUAGAUAUCGAGAGGAACACCGGCGGCGAAGGCGGCCAACUGGACGAAUACCGACGCUGAGACACGAAAGCGUGGGGAGCAAACAGG